AGUAGUGAUAGGCAGGGGCCAUCUUGCCGGCCCCUGCCCGGCCCUUUCCUACGUGGAAAGGGCCAUUUCAGUUUUAAUAUUUUUUUUUAAAACAAAAAAAAAAAUUAAAAAUUUCAAAAUUUGAAACUAAAACCAGCAGUACCCCUAUUUUCUCAUUUUUGUUCCCACCAAGCUUCCCCCCAAAUUUUCCCUCCCUCUCUCCAUCCACCCAUUUUCUUCCCACUUUCGUUCUCCAUCUUCGGCCACCGUCGUUCUCCAUCUUCGGCCAACGUUCGUUCUCCGUCGUUCUUCCAGUUCCGGCCGUCUUCCAGUUCCGGCGACCAUUUUCGCAUGAGCCCGCCACCAUAGUUCUCCAUCUCCAGCCUUCUUCUGUCGCCGGCCGUCUUUCAUCUCCGACAGAGCGACCGCCGACGAGGUCCCCCAGUUCCGGCGACCCAUUUCCGGCCCAGAUUUCCCCCAUUUCUGGCUUCGGGGGAUUGUGGCGACAAUGAAGAUGUUGGAGUCUGAUAUUUGCAAAAUUUUCUACCGAGCUUGUCAAAGCGUUUGCUUGCAAAAGUGGUUCCCUUUUUUUUUUUUUUUUUUUUUUUUCAGAUCCACCGAGUAGCAAUGCCAUUCAAAUUUGGAUACAAAUGCACACAAACUGUUAACGGCCCAUUUGAAUAAACAACACUUAUGCAUAGUUGUGGAUAUGUUUUAACAUGGCAAACAUGAUAACAAAGGUUCAUCUUAAUAUGGGCUUUUCAA